CUGCAGGGAGGCUGGAGGCAGUGCAAGCUCCAGGCGCUGCUGGGGAGUGCCUGUGCUGUCCGUGUUCCCAACUUGAGGAGCAGUGCUUUGCAGUUGGGGCCCACCUGAAGCCUGUGUGGAAGGGAAUUGGGCUCAUUCAGCAGUGAAGGAUUCAUCCAGGCUUUUCAUCUUCCCUGACAGCGGGAGGUCCUACCCUCAGUGUGUGGGGAAGUGGGAGCUGCUGGUGCCUGGGUGUCCUCGGCCUGGUGCUGCUCCCCGAACACAUUAGUGAUGAAAACGUGCACAUGAAACAGCAACAAAAGGAGUAUCUUAAUUUGCUUCUGGGAACAGAAGUCUGCACCUGAGGAUGGCUCCAAAGUCACGGUGCUGCCCUGCUCCCUGAGGACGCUGUGCUCCCGUGCCUUUCUGUGAGGAUGUGGGCCUUGCAGUGACUAUUACUUAAACUGAAGAGUAAAUUUCAGCCUUGGCCUCUGUUUCAUGGGAAGAAACAAUUGCACCCUUAGGAGCAAGGAUGUGGAUGAUGGCAGGAAGUGAUGUGCAGUGUGGGCAGUGUGGUGGAGAAGAACCUGACCUGGUGAGGAGGGCAGGGUAGCCUGUGCAUGCCUGCUGCUUGCUGGUGGCAUGGGAACCCCAUGCUCUGGCACUGCAAAUGCCCAGAGCCCAGUUGCAGCCCUGCCUCACGUUUCUGGCAUUAUUACUUGGGGUUAAGCUGAUGUCACUGAAGUAUGAAGCAUGAUGUGAGGAGAUCAGCACUGUGCAUCAGCGUGGAACUGCUCCUUUCUGGGACCCCCAUCCCCAGUGCUGCGGACUGAUCCAAGGAAGGAGCUUGAAAAUGUAACCUUUAGCUUCAGAACCUUGCAGAUGAUCUUUAAUGCAUCAAAAUGGGAUUUGGGAAGAAUGUAAAACAAUUUUGGAGGUUGAGGUCGGCAUUACUGUGAACUGAUUUAGGAACAUCCUUCUCUCCAUGAAUCUCCUCCUGUCUUUCCUUGACUAUCAGGCACCACAUACUGAACGGGCAUGCAGCUGCUUUGCCCAGCCAGAGCUGGCAUCUUCACCUUCUGCCCCAGAUAAGAGUUAGCUUCUGCCUCUGGACCUCUUUUUUGCCAUUUACCUGCCUCAGUCCCCAUCUGAUUUGUGUCUGCAUAGUGCUUUCAGGAAUGUGGCUCCUCCAGUUCAUCUGGGGCUCUCUUCCCACAUCAGUUGCUAAUGAAGGAGAGUGUUGUGUUUCAGGGUAAGAUUUGUUUCCCCUCUUGGCUGCAAGAGAUGAAUAUACAGUUCACAAGAGUGGACUUUGUGUUAUGUUCUCUCCAUGUUCUCUUGCAUACGAAUGUGGCUCCAGAGACAGACGACAAGGGCAGCCUGAAAUGGCUUUGCAAACUGCCUUCUGCAGCUCAGCUGAAGUUAUUUAUCCCACUUUCUUCUUUAAAACUAAAAAUUUAAAAAAGAGAGAGAGAAAAUCCCUCUCUCCUCUAAGCUAGAAUUAGCAGUUGAAUUUUCUUUUGUGGGCAUCCUGAUGGAGCUGUAGGUGUCCCUGUUCACUGCAGGGAGUUGCACUGGAUGGCCUUUUGUGUCCCUUCCAACUCGAACCACUCUGAGUCUGUGAUUCUAAAAAGUGGGAGUUUCCCUGUGGGGUGAAGUAUCUUGAAUGCAUCUUGACUUGUUGGAUCUUGCACAUUUCUCUGGAUUUUGUUUUCCUUAAAAAACAAGGUUUUUUUUUUUCUUCUUCUUCUCCCCCCUUGCUCCCACCCCACUAAUCAUGCUGACCUUGCUGAUGAGGCUUGAGACUUGAGAGGGAAAUCAAAUGCACCCAAAUUCUACUGGUUGGUUUUGUAUUCUGACUCCAGAGUCAGAAACUGAGCCAUCAAGUUCUUAGGCUUCCGGUCUCCUUCACAGUCCUAGCAGCUGGAAUCGUGCUCCUACCUGCAGGCUGGGUGCACUGAGAUCGGUAGAGAUGCACCAGUAUAGGUAACAUAGUUCUGGGAUAUAGUUGUCAUCUUUCAUCUGAGGCCAAGGUCUGUGCAGUCCUGGUGGUGCAGGGAGAUGCAUGACAUCAAGGUCUGAGAAGCUGUCUAGUCCAUCUCCUUCUCAGCCUGACCUCAGCCCCUCCUGCUGCAGUAAUCCAGAUGCAAUCAGUCUGGCACUUUCAAAUAUUUAUGAAUCCUUGAUGGAUAUUUUUUUGAGGUUUGAAGUUGUAGCUUUCAUGGAAUCUGGUUUGAUUAGCUAGAAAGUCAAUAUUUUCAUUGUGCUGUGUCUGAGGUGCAUUAAUUCUGGCGCAGACAGCAGCAAUAUCAGUGCUGCAGUACUAAUGGCUCUCUGCCUUCACCGACUGGUGCUUAUGUAGUCUGGGAUGAGCUUGGAGCGUGUGGAGAUGCCUUGACGAGAAGCUAAUAAGGCAGUCCAGCUCAUGGUGGAAAUUGGCCAAGGCAGGCAAGGAAAAGGCCCACAGUGAUGUUUGGGAAUCUGCAAGAUGAGGCACUGAGACUGCCUUUCUUUCCAAGUCAUGUCUUCCAGCACAUCCAAACAAAGUAGAUUGCUCUUUACCAGAACUCCCAUUAACUUGUCUUAAAAGAAUGUGACACCUUCAGCAGAGUGAAUCAGAACCUCGUGGGACCAGACCUUUAUUCUUCCCAGCUGAUGCAAAUACCAGAUUGAUAGGUGAGCAGAGUUAUCCUUGUCUUUACAGAUGAGGAAACUAAGCCAUAGGGGAAUUGUAUGAUCUCAGCAGAAGCACAAACAGAAUCUCUUUGUUACUUUAUGCCACGACAGUCAUUGCCAGAAUUGGAGAGCCCACUUCUCCUUUUCACGUGUCUCACAUUUGUCCUGAACCAAGCAGCUGCCAUGCUGAUGUGAAACGGAUGAACAGGCUGACCAAGGGCAUGCCAGCUCUCUGCUGUUAGUGCUGUCAGUGGCCAGAGCUUCCUGUGCUCUCAGGGUGCGUAUCUGGGCACCUUGAGUUGCACAUUACAGUGAAUGUGUCAGGGGCUGGGUGCUUCAGUAUCCUUCCAGGGUUAAAAGCCUGCAGCACAGCACUGUGUUCCGAGGAAUUUCCAUUACAUCCACAUGCCGUGGUGUAUUUCUGUCAGAUUAGGUAGCCCAAAGACGCCCAGCUGUUUGCAGCAGGUAAUGUUUAUGAUGACUUGUGUUCA